rnacentral:rRNA from 1 species
GAUGAACGCUGGCGGCAGGCCUAACACAUGCAAGUCGAACGAGUGGCGGACGGGUGAGUAAUGUCUGGGAAACUGCAUGAUGGAGGGGGAUAACUACUGAAAACGGUAGCUAAUACCGCAUACCCUCGUAUGUGCCCAGAUGGGAUUAGCUAGUAGGUGGGGUAACGGCUCACCUAGGCGACGAUCCCUAGCUGAUCUGAGAGCAUGCCCGGAAACAUUGGAAGUGAGAAGCGGUCGAGAAUGCUACGGGAGGCAGCAGUGAGGAAUAUUGCACAAUGGGAGCAAGGCUGAUCCAGCCAUGCCGCGUGUAGGAAGAAGGACUUCGGAUUGUAAAGAACUUUCAGCGGGGAGGCGUUACCCGCAGAAGAAGCACAGGCUAACCCCGUGCCAGCAGCCGCGGUAAUUC